rnacentral:rRNA from 1 species
GAUGAACGCUAGCGAUAGGCUUAACACGUGCAAGUCGAGGGGCAGCAUGGUCUUAGCUUGCUAAGACUGAUGGCGACCGGCGCACGGGUGCGUAACGCGUAUGCAACUUGCCUCACAGAGGGGGAUAACCCGUCGAAAGACGGACUAAUACCGCGUACACUCCAUCUUGGGCAUCCAAGGUAGAGGAAAUGAAAUUCGCUGUGAGAUAGGCAUGCGUCCCAUUAGCUAGUUGGUGAGGUAACGGCUCACCAAGGCGACGAUGGGUAGGGGAACUGAGAGGGUGAACCCCCACGCUGGUACUGAGACACGGACCAGACUCCUACGGGAGGCAGCAGUGAGGAAUAUUGGUCAAUGGGCGAGAGCCUGAACCAGCCAAGUCGCGUGAAGGAUGACUGUCUUAUGGAUUGUAAACUUCUUUUAUACGGGAAUAACAAGAGUCACGUGUGACUCCCUGCAUGUACCGUAUGAAUAAGCAUCGGCUAACUCCGUG